CACAGUAAACGGAGUCAAAGAGCAAAGGGUUUAAAGCUGGGAAGAUUCCUCCUCCCAUCCGACCCCCCACCCCCUUCCUGGGUCAGAGCCACCCUUAUCCUGUGGAUUCUGUGAGCUUGCAAGCCGGUGUGUGUGCAGGUGACCCUUCUGAAAUACAAAUGAAGGCUUAUUGUUUUUUUUCACUCCUUGAGGAAUCAGAUGGAAAAUGGAGGCCCUGAGACUGGAAGCCCCUGGAGGUCACCGAGGGACCUGGGAGGGUCACUGGCCAUUUAACAAGCUCAACAGAAUUUCCUACUGGGCAUGCUUUCUGUGAGCCGGAACCUGGACUAGAGAUGACCCCGCCCUUGACAGCACCUGACCCCCAGAAACAGUCCUGGGUUUGUGUUGUAUCACCUGCUCCCUUUGUCUCUCCUCUCCUCCAGGUGUGGGGAAACUGAGUCCCAGAGAAGCCAGCUGGAUGGCACAGUUGCCGAGACCCAAAGUUGGAUGCCAGGCCCUCCCCUUAAGCUAUUUCUGAGCCUGACGUGUAAGCUCCAGAGAGCUGGGGAGAGGGAAGCUUUUUUGUUAAUAAUGGAGGAAUCCUCAGGCAGCGUCCUCAGGGUCACCAGCUGGAAGGGUCUCUUGACACACACUCCCACUCCCUGCAACUUAAAACCAAGUGUGUUAUUUAAUAUGCGAACUCUGGUUGGUUUGUUGGAGCACAGCCCUCUUACAGGCAUCAGCUCCUCCUCCUCCAGUGCCUCCCUCCUGAAGCUGGCUGGUGGUUGUACUGGAAGAUGGUGAAAGGGCUGGUGGAACAUUCCCCCAGGAAGGUCAGGCAUCAGCAGCCCGGCCACACAGAGGAGGACCAAGGUGAGGUCAGAGGGUCAGGCCACCUACCUGCGGUCACAGAGCCAGUGUGCCAAGAUUCUGACCCCAGGCCCCGUGCAGGGCCUCGACCAUCGGACGAGAUGACCCCUGGCGCAGCCAUCAGAUACGGUGAAACUGCGCCCCAUCACGGCACAGGAGCACACUGGUGAAAAAAAGCAGUUGAGCACAUUCUAGUUUUGCAAAAAUAAAAAGUGUGUUCGAU